rnacentral:rRNA from 1 species
AGAUUGAACGCUGGCGGCAGGCCUAACACAUGCAAGUCGAGCGGUAGAGAGGUGCUUGCAUCUCUUGAGAGCGGCGGACGGGUGAGUAAUGCCUAGGAAUCUGCCUAGUGGUGGGGGAUAACGUUCGGAAACGGACGCUAAUACCGCAUACGUCCUACGGGAGAAAGCGGGGGACCUUCGGGCCUCGCGCCAUUAGAUGAGCCUAGGUCGGAUUAGCUAGUUGGUGAGGUAAUGGCUCACCAAGGCGACGAUCCGUAACUGGUCUGAGAGGAUGAUCAGUCACACUGGAACUGAGACACGGUCCAGACUCCUACGGGAGGCAGCAGGUGGGGAAUAGUUGGACAAGUGGG